rnacentral:rRNA from 1 species
UACGUAGGGGGCAAGCGUUGUCCGGAAUCAUUGGGCGUAAAGAGCGUGUAGGCGGCUCGGUAAGUCCGCUCUGAAAGCCCGGGGCUCAACCCCGGGAGGCGGGCGGAUACUGUCGGGCUAGAGUCCGGAAGAGGCGAGUGGAAUUCCUGGUGUAGCGGUGAAAUGCGCAGAUAUCGGGAGGAACACCAGCGGCGAAGGCGGCACUCUGGGCUGGAACUGACGCUCAGGAGCGAAAGCGUGGGUAGCGAACAGG